rnacentral:rRNA from 1 species
GACGAACGCUGGCGGCGCGCCUAACACAUGCAAGUCGAACGAGCGAGAGAGAGCUUGCUUUCUUGAGCGAGUGGCGAACGGGUGAGUAACGCGUGAGGAACCUGCCUCAAAGAGGGGGACAACAGUUGGAAACGACUGCUAAUACCGCAUAAGCCCACGACCCGGCAUCGGGUUGAGGGAAAAGGAGCAAUCCGCUUUGAGAUGGCCUCGCGUCCGAUUAGCUGGUUGGUGAGGUAACGGCCCACCAAGGCGACGAUCGGUAGCCGGACUGAGAGGUUGAACGGCCACAUUGGGACUGAGACACGGCCCGGACUCCUACGGGAGGCAGCAGUGGGGAAUAUUGCACAAUGGGGGAAACCCUGAUGCAGCGACGCCGCGUGGAGGAAGAAGGUCUUCGGAUUGUAAACUCCUGUUGUUGAGGAAGAUAAUGACGGUACUCAACAAGGAAGUGACGGCUAACUACGUGCCAGCAGCCGCGGUAAAACGUAGGUCACAAGCGUUGUCCGGAAUUACUGGGUGUAAAGGGAGCGCAGGCGGGAAGACAAGUUGGAAGUGAAAUCUAUGGGCUCAACCCAUAAACUGCUUUCAAAACUGUUUUUCUUGAGUAGUGCAGAGGUAGGCGGAAUUCCCGGUGUAGCGGUGGAAUGCGUAGAUAUCGGGAGGAACACCAGUGGCGAAGGCGGCCUACUGGGCACCAACUGACGCUGAGGCUCGAAAGUGUGGGUAGCAAACAGG